UACGUAGGGUGCGAGCGUUAUCCGGAAUUAUUGGGCGUAAAGCGCGCGCAGGCGGUCAUUUAAGUCAGGUGUGAAAGGCUGCGGCUCAACCGCAGAGCGGCACCUGAAACUGGAUGACUUGAGUGCAGGAGAGGAGAGCGGAAUUCCCGGUGUAGCGGUGGAAUGCGUAGAGAUCGGGAGGAACACCAGUGGCGAAGGCGGCUCUCUGGCCUGUUUCUGACGCUGAGGCGCGAAAGCGUGGGGAGCAAACAGG
rnacentral:rRNA from 1 species